ensembl:lncRNA
AAGGCCUCUAAAUUAAAAUGUUUCUAAGAAGGUGAAAAGCUGAUUUAGUUAUUGCUUUCACAUGGCUGUUUAAACCGUCCAUGACAGUCAAACAGGAUCACUCAGUUGGUUCCAGUAAGCCAAGUGAGAAAACAAAAACCCUCUGGGCUCUGGGCGUGACUCUAAGUCUUGCCUUGUUUCUAUUUUUCCACCACACAACAGAAACGAAGGAUCACUCAGUUGGUUGGUUCCAUGUAAAACAAAAAGGAAGCAAAGUGAGAAAAAAAACCCUCUUGGGUUGGGCUCUGGGCGUGUCUUGCCUUCUCUCUACUUAGUCGCCACACAACAGAAACAAACUUACACACGAGUACAGUUUGCCGGCUAGGAGCCACACUCUACUCCAGUCCCUGUUUUCCCUGCCUUCAUCAAGUCAUGAGCUCUAUCCCCAGUGUCUCAAGGCGAGCAUCAUUGCCUUCACCACGAGCAUCAUCGCCUUCACGGCGAGCAUCAUCGUCUUCACGGAGAGCAUCAUUGUUUUCACCGCGAGCAUCAUCGCCUUCACGGCGAGCAUCAUCGUCUUCACGGAGAGCAUCAUUGUUUUCACGGCGAUCAUCAUUGUUUUCACGGCGAGCAUCAUCGUCUUCUUCGGUCGGGUCAGACACCUCCACAGGCUGUAGUCAUGAGGAGCGACGCAGUGUAGUGUUCUGUGACACAUGCUCAAAGCCACUAUGUGAUGUCUGCCUGAUUAAUGGCAAACAUCGUGGACACAAUUUUAAGACCUUAAAGGAUGCAUGCAAAGACCAAACAGUUAAGAUUGCUCAGAAGUUAGAGAAUUUGGCUUCCAAAGCAAGGACACAGGGUAACGUUAAACAAUGGGUGGAGAGGCAAGAGAAACUGCUUGAAGUAAGAGUAAAUCCUUUGAGUGAUGAGUGAAUGUUCUAUUUUUAGCUGCUUUUCAUACUUUAGGCUCUCAAAACCUCAUUCACGUAUUAAAGAAAAUAAAAACUCCUGCGGGAAGAUUUUGAAAAUCCUCAUAAUUUUAUGUCACCUUUCACCUUUCUCAGAUUGAGUUCAAACGGGUGCGAGAUAGUCUUACUGAGCAAUAUACAGAGCUUCGAUAUCUGCUGGACCGCAACAUGAAACAGGCGUUCAAGCUGUUGGAGACCCAGCGGGAGAGUCAGAAGAAGACCGUGUAUCAUCUGGAGGAAGAUGGAAAGAACUACAGGGAACGAACGGAGGACCUUCAGACAAAAAUAGCAAAUCUGGAAAAAAGGGUGUCGUCAGAAAAGAGUUCUGAAUGCAUUCUGGUAAGACAUAUUUUUUCACAGUAAAUAUUUUUCU